GAGUUUGAUCGUGGGCUCAGGAUGAACGCUGGCGGCGUGCCUAAUACAUGCAAGUCGAGCGAACGGACGAGAAGCUUGCUUCUCUGAUGUUAGCGGCGGACGGGUGAGUAACACGUGGAUAACCUACCUAUAAGACUGGGAUAACUUCGGGAAACCGGAGCUAAUACCGGAUAAUAUUUUGAACCGCAUGGUUCAAAAGUGAAAGACGGUCUUGCUGUCACUUAUAGAUGGAUCCGCGCUGCAUUAGCUAGUUGGUAAGGUAACGGCUUACCAAGGCAACGAUGCAUAGCCGACCUGAGAGGGUGAUCGGCCACACUGGAACUGAGACACGGUCCAGACUCCUACGGGAGGCAGCAGUAGGGAAUCUUCCGCAAUGGGCGAAAGCCUGACGGAGCAACGCCGCGUGAGUGAUGAAGGUCUUCGGAUCGUAAAACUCUGUAUUAGGGAAGACAUAUGUGUAAGUAACUGUGCACAUCUUGACGGUACUAAUCAGAGCACGGCUAACUACGUCG
rnacentral:rRNA from 1 species